GUGUCAACAGAAAAAAAACAAAGAUCUACAUGUACUCGGACGGGACUACCUAUGCAGGCUACCACUAAUAUUCACUAGUGUCAACAGAAAAAAAAAGAUCUACAUGUACUCGGACGGGACUACCUAUGCAGGCUACCACUAAUAUUCACUAGUGUCAACAGAAAAAAAAAAGAUCUACAUGUACUCGACCGGGAUCAUCUAUGCAGACCACCAGUAAUAUCCUUUUGUGCUAAGAGAAACAAUUAAAGAUAUAC
rnacentral:lncRNA from 1 species